UACAGAGGGUGCAAGCGUUGUUCGGAGUUACUGGGCGUAAAGGGUGUGUAGGCGGUUGUUUAAGUUUGGUGUGAAAUCUCCCGGCUCAACUGGGAGGGUGCGCCGAAUACUGAAUGACUAGAGUGCGGGAGAGGUGAGUGGAAUUCCUGGUGUAGCGGUGAAAUGCGUAGAUAUCAGGAGGAACACCGGUGGUGUAGACGGCUCACUGGACCGUAACUGACGCUGAGACACGAAAGCGUGGGUAGCAAACAGG
rnacentral:rRNA from 1 species